rnacentral:rRNA from 1 species
GAGUUUGAUCCUGGCUCAGAUUGAACGCUGGCGGUAUGCUUAACACAUGCAAGUCGAACGGCAGCAUAAGAGAGCUUGCUCUCUUGAUGGCGAGUGGCGGACGGGUGAGUACAACAUAGGAAUCUAUCCAUGUAGCUGGGGAUAACUCGGAGAAAUCCGAGCUAAUACCGAAUACGCUCUACGGAGGAAAGAGGGGGAAUCUUCGGAUCCUCUCACUAUCGGGUGAGCCUAUGCCGGAUUAGCUUGUUGGUGGGGUAAUGGCCUACCAAGGCAACGAUCCGUAGCUGGUCUGAGAGGACGAUCAGCCACACUGGGACUGAGACACGGCCCAGACUCCUACGGGAGGCAGCAGUGGGGAAUAUUGGACAAUGGGGGCAACCCUGAUCCAGCAAUACCGCGUGUGUGAAGAAGGCCUGCGGGUUGUAAAGCACUUUCAGUAGGGAAGAAAAGUUAAUGAUUAAUACUCAUUGACCCUGACGUUACCUACAGAAGAAGCACCGGCUAACUCCGUGCCAGCAGCCGCGGUAAUAAGGGCGA